UACGUAGGGUGCGAGCGUUGUCCGGAAUUAUUGGGCGUAAAGGGCUCGUAGGCGGUCUGUCGCGUCGGGAGUGAAAACUCAGGGCUUAACCCUGAGCCUGCUUCCGAUACGGGCAGACUAGAGGUAUGCAGGGGAGAACGGAAUUCCUGGUGUGGCGGUGGAAUGCGCAGAUAUCAGGAGGAACACCGGUGGCGAAGGCGGUUCUCUGGGCAUUACCUGACGCUGAGGAGCGAAAGUGUGGGGAGCGAACAGG
rnacentral:rRNA from 1 species